rnacentral:rRNA from 1 species
GAGUUUGAUUAUGGCUCAGGAUGAACGCUAGCGGCAGGCCUAACACAUGCAAGUCGAACGGUAACAUAGAGUGCUUGCACUUUGAUGACGAGUGGCGCACGGGUGCGUAACGCGUAUACAAUCUACCUUUUACAGGGGGAUAGCCCAGAGAAAUUUGGAUUAAUACCCCAUGGCAUGCACAAUUGGCAUCGGUUGUGCAUUAAAACUUCGGUGGUAAGAGAUGAGUAUGCGUUCUAUUAGCUAGUAGGUGUGGUAACGGCACACCUAGGCAACGAUAGAUAGGGGCCCUGAGAGGGGGAUCCCCCACACUGGUACUGAGACACGGACCAGACUCCUACGGGAGGCAGCAGUGAGGAAUAUUGGACAAUGGGCGGAAGCCUGAUCCAGCCAUGCCGCGUGCAGGAAGACUGCCCUAUGGGUUGUAAACUGCUUUUAUACAGGAAGAAACCCACCUACGUGUAGGUGGCUGACGGUACUGUAAGAAUAAGGAUCGGCUAACUCCGUGCCAGCAGCCGCGGUAAUACGGAGGAUCCGAGCGUUAUCCGGAAUCAUUGGGUUUAAAGGGUCCGUAGGUGGAUAAUUAAGUCAGGGGUGAAAGUCUGCAGCUCAACUGUAGAAUUGCCUUUGAUACUGGUUAUCUUGAGUUAUUAUGAAGUAGUUAGAAUAUGUAGUGUAGCGGUGAAAUGCAUAGAUAUUACAUAGAAUACCAAUUGCGAAGGCAGAUUACUAAUAAUGAACUGACACUGAUGGGACGAAGCGUGGGGAGCGAACAGGAUUAGAUACCCUGGUAGUCCCACCGCCCGUAAACGGAUUG